rnacentral:rRNA from 1 species
ACGAAUUAGGCGUAAAGCGUCUUUAGGCGGUUUUUUGUCAGUUAGUAACUAAAAUUCAGAACGUAAUUCUGGAAUGUUUACUAAGACGGUUUUUCUAGAGUUUAAUCGGGGUCAGUAGUAUCUCUUCAAGAGGGUUAAAAUUCAUAGAAAGAAGAGAGAGGGCCACGGGUGCAGGCAACUAACUAUAUUAAACUGACGCCAAAGGACUAAAGCGUAGGGAGCGAUCGGGAUUAGAAACCCCGGUAGUCUACGCCUUGACUGAUGAAAGUGAAACGUCAGAUAACUCUGCAUAUUAAAGCUAACGCGUUGAACUUUCCGCCUGAGGAGUACGACCGCAAGGUUGAAACUCAAAGGAAUUGACGGGGGUCUUUUAAAAACGGUGGAACAUGUGGUUUAAUCUGAUAAUCCGCGUAAAACCUUACCAGUUUUUACCAGGUGUUGCAUGGCUGUCGUCAGCCCGCGUCGUGAGGCGUGUCUCGAAAGAGCGUAACGGGCAGAACCCUUACUUGUAGUUGCAAGGAUUGUUUCGAAAGGGACAGAUCCGCACUUUACAGGAAUUUUUGCGCUCUAACAGGGAUGC